rnacentral:rRNA from 1 species
CAGUAGCCGCGGUAAUACGUAGGGUGCAAGCGUUAAUCGGAAUUACUGGGCGUAAAGCGUGCGCAGGCGGUUAUAUAAGUCAGAUGUGAAAUCCCCGGGCUCAACCUGGGAACUGCAUUUGAGACUGUAUGGCUAGAGUGUGUCAGAGGGGGGUAGAAUUCCACGUGUAGCAGUGAAAUGCGUAGAUAUGCGGAGGAACACCGAUGGCGAAGGCAGCCCCCUGGGCCAACACUGACGCUCAUGCACGAAAGCGUGGGGAGCAAACAGGAUUAGAGACCCCCGUAGUCCCUGUCUCUUAUAC